CCUACGGGAGGCAGCAGUGAGGAAUAUUGGUCGAUGGCCGGAAGGCUGAACCAGCCAUGCCGCGUGAAGGUCAGUGCCCUAUGGGCGUUAAACUUCUUUUGUGCGGGAGCAAUAAUGGUCACGUGUGGCCAGACGAGAGUACCGUACGAAUAAGCAUCGGCUAACUCCGUGCCAGCAGCCGCGGUAAUACGGGGGAUGCAAGCGUUAUCCGGAUUUAUUGGGUUUAAAGGGUGCGUAGGCUGUGAGGUAAGUCAGCGGUGAAAUGCCCCCGCUCAACGGGGUGAAGUGCCAUUGAUACUGCCUGGCUGGAAUGCGGAUGCCGUGGGAGGAAUGUGUGGUGUAGCGGUGAAAUGCAUAGAUAUCACACAGAACACCGAUUGCGAAGGCAUCUCACGAAGCCGCGAUUGACGCUGAUGCACGAAAGCGUGGGUAUCAAACAGGAUUAGAUACCCCAGUAGUC
rnacentral:rRNA from 1 species